rnacentral:lncRNA from 1 species
UGAGUCAAAAGUAAUCAAAAGUUCAAUUCUUCUCUAAUUGCUAUGAAAAAAAUGAGAGCAGUUACCGUUUUUGAUCUCUUUGACUUUGUAUUCCUUCAACUUUUCAGGGUCUUUUGAGUAGCCUAAUGGAUCAAAAGCACCUCCAGGGUACUUCUUCUUCUCGGGGUCUUUCUCCAUGCUGCGCUGGUGCUCUACAAAAGCAAUGGCAAGGAACUCAAUGACCAAAAUGGUGGGCAAAGUUCCCCAUGGAACUGGUUGUCCCAAGUAUGUAGCUUGGCCUCCUGGAACUGCUGCCCAUUCUUGAGCUUUAACCCAGUUGCCCAAUCCCAAAGCCUCAGGUACCAAAAUCCCUGGCUGAAAAACAAAAGGAACAGCAUUGGAAAAUGAAAAAGGAAAAGCCCCCAUCAAUCUCGGAAUCAAGCAACUGAAUUUGGUAAGCUUACAACAGCAAGCAUGGCCCAUCUGCAGUGAAUUAGCUCAGACUCCUUGAAUCUCUCGAG